GUAGCAAUACCCCAGUGGCAGACGGGUGAGUAACACGUGGUCAACCUACCUCUGUGUGGGGGAUAACUAGCCGAAAGGUUAGCUAAUACCGCAUACGAUCGUUUUGAGGCAUCUCGAGACGAUGAAAGGAGCAAUCCGCACGGAGAGGGGACUGCGUCCCAUUAGUUAGUUGGUGGGGUAACGGCCUACCAAGACUCCGAUGGGUAGCUGGCUUGAGAGAGCGACCAGCCACACUGGAACUGAGACACGGUCCAGACUCCUACGGGAGGCAGCAGUGAGGAAUUUUCCGCAAUGGGCGAAAGCCUGACGGAGCGACGCCGCGUGUGGGAUGAAGGCCUUCGGG
rnacentral:rRNA from 1 species